GCCACUUCUUUAUACGUGCAAACGACUUGUCAUCAAUCACUGCUGAGAAAAAGGUCCCAAAGUCCUGGACAGGGUCUCCCACUUUGAUCUUCUUGGUCUCCUCCAGCAGCUUCUCUUUGAUCUGGGGCCACAGCGAGCGCGGGGCGUAGAGGCGGGAGCACGCCGAGCAUUUCUGGCCGCCGUACUCGAAGGCGGAGCGCAGGGUGCCGUUCACCACGCUGGACACGUCGGCCGAGCUGUGCACCAGGUGGAAGUUCUUACCCCCGCAUUCUCCGGCCAGGCGGGGGAAGCUGCG
rnacentral:lncRNA from 1 species